GUUCUUGUUCUGGUAAACGACAAUUAAAAACUGGAUUCCCUGGAGAAACGGAAGCUUUUUAUAUCUGCUGACUGAAAAGAUGGUCGCUUCAUUGUACUGUUUCCUGAGAAGAAGAAGAAGAAAGUAGGCUUCUUGGAGGCCGAGAGAUUGCACUACUCGAGAAAUUCAAUCAAGAAUGAAAAUUAACGCAAAUGGGUAUUACAAGAAAAGCUGGUUUUCGUUUCCGAGAGAGAGAGAGAGAGAG
rnacentral:misc_RNA from 1 species